rnacentral:rRNA from 1 species
UGGAGAGUUUGAUCCUGGCUCAGGACGAACGCUGGCGGCGUGCCUAAUACAUGCAAGUCGAGCGGACCUUUYAAAAGCUUGCUUYUGAAAGGUCAGCGGCGGACGGGUGAGUAACACGUGGGCAACCUGCCUGUAAGACUGGGAUAACUUCGGGAAACCGGAGCUAAUACCGGAUAAUAUAAKGAACCUCCUGGUUCUUUAUUGAAAGAUGGUUUCGGCUAUCACUURCAGAUGGGCCCGCGGCGCAUUAGCUAGUUGGUGAGGUAACGGCUCACCAAGGCRACGAUGCGUAGCCGACCUGAGAGGGUGAUCGGCCACACUGGGACUGAGACACGGCCCAGACUCCUACGGGAGGCAGCAGUAGGGAAUCUUCCACAAUGGACGAAAGUCUGAUGGAGCAACGCCGCGUGAGCGAUGAAGGCCUUCGGGUCGUAAAGCUCUGUUGUUAGGGAAGAACAAGUGCGAGAGUAACUGCUCGCACCUUGACGGUACCUAACCAGAAAGCCACGGCUAACUACGUGCCAGCAGCCGCGGUA